rnacentral:rRNA from 1 species
AUUGAACGCUGGCGGCAUGCCUAACACAUGCAAGUCGAACGGAAACACGAGGAGCCUUCUUUCUUGACGUUCGCGUCGGGCGGGUGAGUGACAUGUCGAUGACCCAGCUUUAUGGAUGGGGUAACUUACUGGAAACGGAACCAAUAACCGAAUAUCUUCUCAACCCCAUGGAUCAAGAGCGACAGACCGCCUGGCAUUGGCUUUUACCUGAUGCCACGCUGGAUUAGCUAGUUGGUGAGGUAACGGCUUACCAAGGCGACGAUGCAUAGCCGAUCUGAGAGGAUGAUCAGCCACACUGGAACUGAGACACGGUCCAGACUCCUACGGGAGGCAGCAGUGGGGAAUCUUGCACAAUGGGCGAAAGCCUGAUGGAGCAAUGCCGCGUGUAUGAUGAAGGUCUUCGGGUCGUAAAGUUCUUUUAGUAGGGAAGAAGAGAUUAGUGUGAAUCUGUGCGCAUCUUGACGUUACCUGAAGAGAAAGCAACGGCUAACUACGUG